rnacentral:misc_RNA from 1 species
CCUAUAAUUAUGCUUGUGAUUACGUAGAAAAGGUUUUGGAAGAAAAUCCGUCUGUGGAGGUGGUUAUUGAUCUGCACAGAGAUG